GAACGCUAGCGACAGGCUUAACACAUGCAAGUCGAGGGGCAGCACAGGUAGCAAUACCGGGUGGCGACCGGCGCACGGGUGAGUAACGCGUAUGCAACUUGCCUAUCAGAGGGGGAUAACCCGGCGAAAGUCGGACUAAUACCGCAUGAAGCAGGGGCCCCGCAUGGGGAUAUUUGCUAAAGAUUCAUCGCUGAUAGAUAGGCAUGCGUUCCAUUAGGCAGUUGGCGGGGUAACGGCCCACCAAACCGACGAUGGAUAGGGGUUCUGAGAGGAAGGUCCCCCACAUUGGUACUGAGACACGGACCAAACUCCUACGGGAGGCAGCAGUGAGGAAUAUUGGUCAAUGGGCGCGAGCCUGAACCAGCCAAGUCGCGUGAGGGAUGAAGGUUCUAUGGAUCGUAAACCUCUUUUAUAAGGGAAUAAAGUGCGGGACGUGUCCCGUUUUGUAUGUACCUUAUGAAUAAGGAUCGGCUAACUCCGUGCCAGCAGCCGCGGUAAUACGGAGGAUCCGAGCGUUAUCCGGAUUUAUUGGGUUUAAAGGGUGCGUAGGCGGCCUUUUAAGUCAGCGGUGAAAGUCUGUGGCUCAACCAUAGAAUUGCCGUUGAAACUGGGAGGCUUGAGUAUGUUUGAGGCAGGCGGAAUGCGAGGUGUAGCGGUGAAAUGCAUAGAUAUCACGCAGAACCCCGAUUGCGAAGGCAGCCUGCCAAGCCAUUACUGACGCUGAUGCACGAAAGCGUGGGGAUCAAACAGGAUUAGAUACCCUGGUAGUCCACGCAGUAAACGAUGAUCACUAGCUGUUUGCGAUACAUUGUAAGCGGCACAGCGAAAGCGUUAAGUGAUCCACCUGGGGAGUACGCCGGCAACGGUGAAACUCAAAGGAAUUGACGGGGGCCCGCACAAGCGGAGGAACAUGUGGUUUAAUUCGAUGAUACGCGAGGAACCUUACCCGGGUUUGAACGCAUUCGGACCGAGGUGGAAACACCUCUUCUAGCAAUAGCCGUUUGCGAGGUGCUGCAUGGUUGUCGUCAGCUCGUGCCGUGAGGUGUCGGCUUAAGUGCCAUAACGAGCGCAACCCUUGCCACUAGUUACUAACAGGUAAAGCUGAGGACUCUGGUGGGACUGCCAGCGUAAGCUGCGAGGAAGGCGGGGAUGACGUCAAAUCAGCACGGCCCUUACAUCCGGGGCGACACACGUGUUACAAUGGCGUGGACAAAGGGAAGCCACCUGGCGACAGGGAGCGAAUCCCCAAACCACGUCUCAGUUCGGAUCGGAGUCUGCAACCCGACUCCGUGAAGCUGGAUUCGCUAGUAAUCGCGCAUCAGCCAUGGCGCGGUGAAUACGUUCCCGGGCCUUGUACACACCGCCCGUCAAGCCAUGGGAGCCGGGGGUACCUGAAGUCCGUAACCGCGAGGAUCGGCCUAGGGUAAAACUGGUGACUGG
rnacentral:rRNA from 1 species